rnacentral:rRNA from 1 species
AUUGAACGCUGGCGGCAGGCCUAACACAUGCAAGUCGAACGAGUGGCGGACGGGUGAGUAAUGUCUGGACAACUGCCUGAUGGAGGGGGAUAACUGCUGGAAACGGUAGCUAAUACCGCAUAACGUCAGUUGGGCCCAGGUGGGAUUAGCUAGUUGGUGGGGUAAAGGCGAACAAAGGAGUCGAUACCUAGCUGGUCUGAGAGGAUGACCAGCCAUACUGGAAAUGAGACACGUGCCAGACGCCGACGGGAGGCAGCAGGGGGGAAUAGUGCACAAGGGGCGCAAGCCGGAGGCAGACAUGCCGCGGGAAUGAAGAAGGCCUUCGGGUUGUAAAGUACUUUCAGCGGGGAGGCGUUACCCGCAGAAGAAGCACCGGCUAACUCCGUGCCAGCAGCCGCGGUAAUAC